rnacentral:rRNA from 1 species
AGAAUCAACGCUGGCGGCGUGCCUAACACAUGCAAGUCGAACGAGAAAGUGGAGCAAUCCAUGAGUACAGUGGCGUACGGGUGAGUAACACGUGACUAACCUACCCUCGAGUGGGGAAUAACCUCGGGAAACCGGGGCUAAUACCGCAUAACAUCUUCGGAUCAAAUGCGUAAACAGCUUGAGGAGGGGGUCGCGGCCGAUUAGCUAGUUGGCGGGGUAAUGGCCCACCAAGGCAAUGAUCGGUAGCCGGCCUGAGAGGGCGCACGGCCGACACUGGAACUGAAACACGGUCCAGACUCCUACGGGAGGCAGCAGUGGGGAAUUUUGCGCAAUGGGGGAAACCCUGACGCAGCAACGCCGCGUGGAGGAUGAAGCCCUUUGGGGCGUAAACUCCUUUCGAUCGGGACGAUUAUGACGGUACCGGAAGAAGAAGCACCGGCUAACUCUGUGUCAGCAGCCGC